CUACUGCUUGGUGGGGAAAGGCCUUUCCACGUUUCACUCACUGCAGAGCAAUCCAGCUUUCCUGUGAUAUUCAUCUGAUGUUUAUAUCCAUCUUUUGAAAUAUAGGGGCUAUUAGAUCAGAAAUAUUCCAUGAAGAAGGGAGCAAAGAUUCAUGUCACUGACAACUGGAGAAGAAACAGAGAAAGGGUACUCAUGAUGUGUGACAAAUGGCAUGCCUCCUGCAAGAGUUAUGAGUUAUGUGCCUAAACAGGAAGGAUCAUCUCAUUGCAGAAUUAGGGCAUCAUCCAGUGGGAAGGGAGUUUCAAGGUCAUUUAGUCCAGCCUCCGAGUGAUACAGAAAUUCUCUUUGCAGCAUCCCUAUCACGUGGCCAUCAAACUUCUACUAGUGUAUUCAUCCACACCUGGUCUGUCUAAAACCUUGAGAACAGCCCCUUGUAUAGUUCAAUAGCCCCAGCUGAAGGAAAAGUUUUUGUUAUUUUCAGUAAACAUAUUCUGUUGUGUAACUUUGGUUGAUCGGUUCCCCUUUAGCGACCCAGAAAACACUGAGCUCCCUCUGACACCCAUGCCCUUUGACUGAAAGUCAGCCAUAAAAUAGAGCACCAGAGUAACUUUCCAGAGUCCCAGAUUUGCCCCUUC
rnacentral:lncRNA from 1 species